rnacentral:rRNA from 1 species
GAUGAACGCUGGCGGCGUGCCUAAUACAUGCAAGUCGAGCGAACAGACGAGGAGCUUGCUCCUCUGACGUUAGCGGCGGACGGGUGAGUAACACGUGGAUAACCUACCUAUAAGACUGGGAUAACUUCGGGAAACCGGAGCUAAUACCGGAGAAUAUAUUGAACCGCAUGGUUCAAUAGUGAAAGACGGUUUUGCUGUCACUUAUAGAUGGAUCCGCGCCGCAUUAGCUAGUUGGUAAGGUAACGGCUUACCAAGGCAACGAUGCGUAGCCGACCUGAGAGGGUGAUAGGCCACACUGGAACUGAGACACGGUCCAGACUCCUACGGGAGGCAGCAGUAGGGAAUCUUCCGCAAUGGGCGAAAGCCUGACGGAGCAACGCCGCGUGAGUGAUGAAGGUCUUCGGAUCGUAAAACUCUGUUAUUAGGGAAGAACAAAUGUGUAAGUAACUAUGCACGUCUUGACGGUACCUAAUCAGAAAGCCACGGCUAACUACGUG